CCCUUAGAGUUUGAUCCUGGCUCAGGACGAACGCUGGCGGCGUGCCUAACACAUGCAAGUCGAACGAGGCCACUCUUUCGGGAGUGAGUCGAGUGGCGGACGGGUGAGUAACACGUGAGCAAUCUACCCUUGUGCGGGGGAUAACCCGGGGAAACCCGGGCUAAUACCGCAUGUUUCGGGAGAGCGGAAUCGCUUUCCUGGGAAACGUGGCCUCUUUACAAUGCUACGGCGCAGGGAGGAGCUCGCGGGCUAUCAGCUAGUUGGUGAGGUAAUAGCUCACCAAGGCUACGACGGCUACGGGGUCUGAGAGGACGACCCCGCACAUUGGAACUGAGACACGGUCCAGACUCCUACGGGAGGCAGCAGUGGGGAAUAUUGGGCAAUGGCCGAAAGGCUGACCCAGCGACGCCGCGUGUGGGAGGAAGCCCUUCGGGGUGUAAACCACUGUCAGAGGGGACGAAUGAGCGGAGGGUGAAUAAUCCUUCGAAGUGACGGUACCCUCAAAGGAAGCACCGGCUAACUCUGUGCCAGCAGCCGCGGUAAUACAGAGGGUGCAAGCGUUGUUCGGAAUUACUGGGCGUAAAGCGCGCGCAGGCGGAUCCUGCAAGUCCGGA
rnacentral:rRNA from 1 species